GGCGCCUGGGAGGGGCGGCCACCCUCCGUCCGCUCCAGCACGCUCCUGCCAGAUCACCCAGCGUGAAAGGGAGGAAUUGUUCCCGUGACCUUUGCUUUCCUUGUCAAAGGCGAUUUCGGCAAGUGCCGGCUCUCUUCCCUGAAGGCCGGGCCAGCCCUGGUUCCCCUCUCCCAAAGGGACUGAAAGGGCCCUCUUGGCACCUGGGGGAGGUAAGGGCCCUGGGGGAACCUGUAGAAAACACCAUCCACGCCUGCCAGCAGGAGCGAGGCCUCACCCCCUUCUAUGCCCGCUGCCUGAGCCACCUGCCAGCCAGUGCCCCUUCCCCGUCCCGCUAACCACCCCCCAACUCCUUCCUGGUCUUCCCUCCCCUCGGCGCCCCCCAGGACCCAGAAUAGGACCCAGCCCAGAGUCAGAGGCUCAAUCAAGCUCCCCCGCCCAGCUGAGACACCCCCCCUCGCCCCGUACCGAGAGCAGGGCUCCCCCUCUUCCUCUCACUUCUACCUAACCCUGCCUUGGGAGGGUGUCCCCCCGUGCCGGUCUCUGCAGGUGGACCACAGGUCUCUACACCAGCUUCUAACCGCUGUCUCGGCCUCCUCUGCCCCCUGGUCACGUGGCCAGCCCACCGCCCACCUGCCCUGCUUUGGCAUGGCUGGUGACCCCAGGGUGUGACCCCAGCAGCCGUGGAACCCUGGCUACGUCCGUCCCACGGUGGCCCCGCAGGCAGCACAGCCGGGGUUAAGGGCAGCCUCGGAUCACGGAGGCCCCAUUUCCGAUUUUCCAGAAGAUGCCAAUUAUUAAUGAUCAUUGUUCUUUCCUUCUGGGGCAUGAAAAAGCAGGUUCAGCUCACAACCGGAAAAGCAGCGGGUCAAGGUUCCCAGAGGAUGAAAUGUCAGCCUCCGGCGGCAGUGACAUUCACCCAGAAGCACUAAAAAUAGACUCGAAAACAGAAGCAUCGAGUCUCUGGAGGCUGGAGGCAUAAGAUGAGGAAACUGGAACUCAAAGAAGGGAAGCAUUUGGCUAAGGACACAAGAGAAAAUGGCAGACCUGAGGCCCAGACAGGAGUAGAUGACCAUCUCAAACCUUGCUUGCGUGGAGAAAUCUGCUUCCACAUGGUGGCUGUGCUAAGAAUGGAAACCAGGUUCCAGAACUUCUAGUGCAGAAUUUCUUCUACUGCUAAUUCAAUACAUGCUAGAGGAAGAAAAGGAUGGAUGCAUGGAUGGAUGAGUGGGUGGAUGGAAGGAUGUUGGAUGGAUGAUGAAUGAUGGAUGGAUGGAUGGAUGGAUGGAUGGGUUGGUGGAUGGAUGAGUGGAUGAUGGAUGGAUGGAUGAGUUGAUGGGCGAGUGGAUAGAUGAAUGGUGGAUGAAUGGAUGGACAGCUAGCUAGCUAGACGUGUGGACAGAUGGAUGAAUUGGUGGACAGGUGAGUGGGCGGCUAGGUGGAUGUGUGAUGGAGAGACGCAUACACACAUCCAUGUAUGAAUGAACAAAAAGGACGGCAAGACACGGUAAAAGGUCACGACCAGGGAACUGGAUAACAGUCCACCUUUUUCCUAACGAUUUUUUAGGUGUAUCAAAAAAUGAGCCCAUGCAAAAACUUCUCUGAGGCUUCUCUUUUUAAGGAAAUAAAGUGCAUCGUAAGCUG